CUUUUUGAAUUAUUUUAAAAGUCUAACCUGCCCACUGAAUAAAUUUAAAUGGCCGCAGUAUACUAACUGUGCAAAGGUAGCAUAAUCAUUAGUCUUUUAAUUGAAGGCUGGUAUGAAUGGUUGGACGAGAUAUUAACUGUUUCAUAUGAAUUUAUAUUAGAAUUUUAUUUUUUAGUCAAAAAGCUAAAAUAUUAUUAAAAGACGAGAAGACCCUAUAAAUCUUUAUAUAUAAGUUGUUAAAAUUUUGUAGAUUUUUUUUAUUAUAAUAACUGAUUAUAUUUUAUUGGGGUGAUAUUAAAAUUUAAUGAACUUUUAAUUAUUAAUACCAUUGAUUUAUGAAUAAUUGAUCCGUUAAUAACGAUUAAAAAAACAAGUUACUUUAGGGAUAACAGCGUAAUUUUUUUGGAGAGUUCAUAUCGAUAAAAAAGAUUGCGACCUCGAUGUUGGAUUAAGAUAUAAUUUUAGGUGUAGCUGCUUAAAUUUUAAGUCUGUUCGACUUUUAACAUCUUACGUGAUCUGAGUUCA
rnacentral:rRNA from 1 species